rnacentral:rRNA from 1 species
UACGUAGGGAGCGAGCGUUGUCCGGAAUCAUUGGGCGUAAAGCGCGCGUAGGCGGCCCGAUAAGUCCGCUGUAAAAGUCAACGGCUCAACUGUUGAAAGCCGGUGGAUACUGUCGGGCUAGAGUACGGAAGAGGCAAGUGGAAUUCCUGGUGUAGCGGUGAAAUGCGUAGAUAUCAGGAGGAACACCGGCGGUGUAGACGGCUCGUCUAGACCAUAACUGACGCUGAGGCACGAAAGCGUGGGUAGCAAACAGGA